GAGAGAGUGGAGAGGGGGCACUUAAAGGGGUCUGUCCCUGCACCACAGUCAGGUUACUACAACCCUGGAGAUGUGUGUGUGGACCCUGCUCUGGGUGUGGACACCACACUCACCCUGCCGAAGUCUGCAUCCUAACCGCCCUGCAGCCCAGCUCCUGUCACUGAUAAAGCAGGGAGCUAAGGUGCCCUCUGGUGGGACCUUUCCCAGCACCCAAGAGCCCCUUGUUCUCUGGGUCUUCUGCCAUUUCCUUCAAGAGGCCCUGAGUCCCUCCCCCAUGGCAUAACCAAGGCAGCCUGAUGAGAUCCAGGGGUCCAAAUCUGAGGCUGUUGGGGUGGCCCUGCGCCCCCACCCCCCGGCAAUCAGCUUCCAUCCAAAAAUAAACAGAGGUCUUGAUUGAGAAGACAGCGACACUGAGGUGCAGGGGUGGCCUGGUGGAAAGCAGCCAAAGCCUGCUGUGCCUUCCAGGGCUGUUGGUCACAGAGGUGCUUCGAAGGAGGCCAUCAAGGAGGAAUCCACAGGACCUGCUUCUCAUCAGCAGGGGGGUGUGUGGAGAAAGACCCAUGUCACCUUGCAAAGGGUCAAUGUCUGAACACCUUAGGAAGCAGGAUUAAUUCUUUGAAAUUCUCAUAAAUUUUCCCGAUUUAGUCAGCAAAUGUUUAUGGAGUCCUCUGUGCCAGGCGCCAGGUGGUAGAGAAGGACCGAGCUGUGCAGCCACCGCAGUCAGUUGGACAACAUUACUGAGGUAUCACUUACAGACCAUAAAGUCUGCCCAUUCUAAGUGUGCUGCUUGGUGAGUUUCAGUUAAUUUACAGAGCUGUGUGGUCAUCCUAUAGCCCAGCCUCAGAGGUCUCCUGCCCCCUGUGACUCUUCAGUCUGCCGCCCUUUGUCCCCUCACCCCAGCACCACUACUCUGCUUUCCAUCUCCAGAGUUGUAUCUUUUUUUAAGUAUUUCUGUAAAAAUGGAAUCAGGUACUGUAUAGCUUUCUGCAUCUGACUUUUUCCUUGGCGUGGUAAAAAAGUUGACUUGAGGUUGGUUAUCCUCGACUAGACCCGGGUCAGCUAGCUCCUUCUGGGAAGGUUUUGUGGACUCCACAGUCUCUGUCACAAAUGCUCAGCCCCACUGCAACUCUUAGGUAGUAACUGGUAAUGACACGCACAGCAAGGUCACAGGUGUUCUUUAAGUUACUUUUAGAGUCUUUAAACAACUUUCAAAGCAGAUGAGAAAACAACAGCUAAUGGAUAACCUAUAGAAAAACACCGAGUACCCAGAUCUUGAGAAUAAACAAAUAGAAGGGAACGGAGCUCAUUGGAGAAAUACGUCAAGAAAGGGACUAACUGUUGACUGGGUCCACUGAGGUCAGCGAAAAGCUAGGAGUUAGGGCCAUCAGCGCCUCCAUAUAUCUUGGAAAGGAAGUUUCUUUAGAGGCGCAGGCACACUAAGACAACUUGUGACCGGCCACUGACCCCAAUACCCACAUUAACAUAGAAUUGACUUGUAGAUGAAGCCCCCUGAAUAGGGUGGCCACCAUGACAGCUCCAGAGAGGACCAAUUAGGGUCAAAAACUCCUCUGACCCACACGAAGGAGGAUUUUUACACCUGAUUGGCAGAGUGAAGAAGGUGGACUCCAAUUCUCAGAGCAGCCGUAAAACAGCAAUAAAUUUGGGGAGGCAUUGUUACUCUUUCUCUGCUCUGAGAUGACCCACUCUCUUGAGAGUGCUCUCUGCUUGAACCUUACUCGGCUUUUACUUUACUUUCUCUUAUGAUCUCUUGCAUGACGUUGGGUGGCAGACUUCCAAUUUUCUUUCAUCAGGACACCAGAACUGAGGUUUGCAGCUUCAGCUCCCCACUCUCCAGUGACAUCUAACCUGGUGCCUGGACUUGGAUUGACAGCCAUCGACAGAACAGGGCCACUACGGCGGCACUGGGACUCCUCCGCUGUUGAGGCUGUCAUCUGAUGGUGUAUACCUGACUCUCUUCAGGAAGGACACCAUCACCUUCUAUUAGAGGCCAUAUCCAGAAUCUGGAGGGACCUCUAGCCCUGAAGACAUCUGCCGUCAUUGCAGAAAACCAGGACACUGGAAGAAAGAUUGCCCGAUUAAGGGCAAAGCUUCCAAAGACUCCUUGCCCUGAGUGAGGCAGGAGAGGCCGCUGGCAAGCUGACUGCCCUCAGGGCUGAAGGGGCUUCGAUCAGACACUCUCCAAGUGAUGGCCCAAGAAUGAGGAGGCCUUCAGAACUGGUCGGCAGCCCAGUCACCGUCACCAUCAGUAGGGCUACACCGAGGGUAAUUCUGGAGGUCUGGCUCUAUUGCCCAGGCUGGCCUUGAACUCCUGGGCUCAAGUGACCCUCCUGCCUCAGCCUACAACUGCUUUCACCUCCCAAGUGGCAAGGACUCCAGACACCACAGCAGGUGUGUUUGUCUUUAUUUUAUAGCCCCUUUGAUUGGCCCUUUUAUUACCAUCAUUUUUUUUAAAGUCUCUUCUCCUUUAAAUCGACUUAAUUGAAAUUUAAUGUACAUGAAAUGAGAUGGUUCCAAUUUAAGGUACAUAUUUUGGCAAGUAUAUACAGUUGUGUAAUCACAACCACAGCAAGACAGAGGACGUUUCCGUUACCCGAGAGGUUUUCUAGGCUUCCCCACCCUCAGCCUCAGCCCUGGGCAAACCCCAGAUCUGCCUUCUGUCACUGUAAAUCAGACUCAGCUCUCUAGCUUUAGUCUCAUCAGUGGGAUCAUGCAGCAUGAGCUCUUGUAUCUGAGUUUUGAGACACCCACGUUGCCUACAUAAUAGUUUGUUCCAUUUUUAUUGCUUGAGUGGUGUGCGCUGCAUGGAUUUGCCACAGUUUCCGUCUGCUUACCAGCCAAGGGAGAGUUGAGUUUUCCAGUUCCACUUUGAGCAAUGCUGUUUUAAGCAUUCCUGUGUAUUAGUGUGGGCAGGCAUUUUCAUUAAACUUGGGCAGUGUCAUGGUUUAGAUAUGAGGUGUCCCCCAAAAGCUCACGUGUAAAACAAUGCAGAAUUUUCAGAGGUGAAAUGAAUAAAUUACAAGAGGUGUAACCCAAUCUGUGAAUUAAGCCCCUGAUAGGAACUAACUGGGCAGUAACUGUAGGCAGGAGGGAUGUGGCUCAGAGAAGUGGUUCACUGGGAGCGUGACUUGGGGGAUUAUAAGCAGAGCUAGCUCUCUGCUUCCUAUUACCAUGUCCUGAGCUGCUUUCCUCUGUCACAGCAUUCUGUCUCACCUCCAGCCCCAGCUAUGGAGUCCAUCCAUCAUGGACUGAACCUCUGAAACUGUGAGCCAGAAUAAACUUUUCCUCCUCUAUGUUGUUCUUGUCAGGUCUUUUGGUCUCAGUGAUGCAAAGCUGACUAAAACAGUCAGGUAGCUAGGAGUAGGACUGCUGGAUGACGACGUAUGUUUUUGGAGUUUUUUUGUUGUUGUUGUUGGUUGUUUUUUUUGUUUUGUUUUGGUUUUUUU